rnacentral:rRNA from 1 species
CCCCUUUGGGGGUACUCGAGUGGCGAACGGGUGAGUAACACGUGAGUAACCUGCCCUCGACUUCGGGAUAACUUCAGGAAACUGGGGCUAAUACCGGAUAGGAAUCCUUGCUGCAUGGUGGGGGUUGGAAAGCUUCGGCGGUUUUGGAUGGACUCGCGGCUUAUCAGCUUGUUGGUGGGGUAGUGGCUUACCAAGGCUUUGGGACGGGUAGCCGGCCUGAGAGGGCGACCGGCCACAUUGGGACUGAGAUACGGCCCAG